rnacentral:lncRNA from 1 species
UCAAAUAGCAAACUCAACCAACCAAGAUAUGAAAAUGACUCAAUAAAGAGAAGAAAAAGUUAAAGUACUUGACAAAAUGAGAUAUGCUGCCACAAUUUUGAACUUUACUUCUUAUGAGAAGGCCCAGGAGGAGAUUUAAACACAGACGUGUGCACAGUGGAAAGAUCUGUGACAACAGAGGGAGAAAUUCAGCCAUCCAAGCCAUCCACAAGUGAAGGAGAGAGGUCUCAAUGAAACCAACACUGCUGACAACUUGAUCUUGGACUGCUACCCUGGAUAACUGUGAGGAAAUAAAUUUCUGGUGUUUUA